UUCUUCAGGGCAGGGUGCCUCAGUCAGAAAAAACUGAGAAUUCCCGACCGGCGGUAUAGUCCGCGAGCACUUAAGUGCUGAUUUGGUGUGAUUCCAAAACCGACAGUAUAGUCUGGAUGAGAGAAGAUA
rnacentral:ncRNA from 1 species